rnacentral:rRNA from 1 species
ACUCAAAUGAAUAGACGGGGGCCCGCACAAGCGGCGGAGCAUGUGGAUUAAUUCGAUGCAACGCGAAGAACCUUACCUGGGCUUGACAUGGACUAGAAAUCCUCAGAGAUGAGGGCUCCCUUGUGGCUGGUUCACAGGUGGUGCAUGGCUGUCGUCAGCUCGUGUCGUGAGAUGUUGGGUUAAGUCCCGCAACGAGCGCAACCCUCGUUCCAUGUUGCCAGCGGGUAAUGCCGGGGACUCAUGGGAGACUGCCGGGGUCAACUCGGAGGAAGGUGGGGAUGACGUCAAGUCAUCAUGCCCCUUAUGUCCAGGGCUUCACACAUGCUACAAUGGCCGGUACAAAGGGCUGCGAAGCCGUGAGGUGGAGCGAAUCCCAUAAAGCCGGUCUCAGUUCGGAUCGGGGUCUGCAACUCGACCCCGUGAAGUCGGAGUCGCUAGUAAUCGCAGAUCAGCAACGCUGCGGUGAAUACGUUCCCGGGCCUUGUACACACCGCCCGU